UCUUUCUUCUCUUCUUCUUCUUUUCUUCCUCGCCAGCGCCGUUUCUCUCCCUCUCCGUCGAUUUUCCGGCCACCUUAGCUUAUAACUGGCCGACUCCACCUCUUCCUCACCAGCACUACUCCAGCGACUCCCCUUCCUAUUUCCAGUCGGUUUUAACGCAAAAAGGAGAUGAAGAACGAUGAUGUGCCACAGUCGAUUUCUCGUCAAUCCUUGCCGAUUCCGGCGGCUUCAGGUCAUGAGGUGAGCGCCGGUCGAUCCCUUUCCUCCACGUGAUCAUUUUCCCUAAAAUAAUUCCGUUGAUGGAGCAUGGAGGACGAAACCACCAUGAGCAGUGGAGAUACAGCGACUUCAGGCUCGAUUUCGGCCAAACGAGCUAGUAGCUCUGCAAACGGAAGGUGGAUUUGAACUCCUCAUGAAAUUGCGAGUCGAACAUUGGGAUCGCUGCAAAAUUCUGGGCGAUCUCGAUUUUCCGGCAACCGUGCAUGGAGGCGACAGCGGCGAUCCGGCGAAUCGCCGGCAAGUCUCCGGCGAGGCCCCUAGAGGCAGAAUCAUCUUCUCCUCGUGCAGAUUGUGGAAUCGUAGUCCGAUUUUCGAUUGGUAGUAGAUACUUCUUUGUUUCGGUUAAAGCUCAUUCUCCUUCCCCGCAGAACUAGAAAAAUAACUUUUAGAAUCUACAGUUAUUUAAGUUAUGUAACUAUAUGUAUUAAAAUAUAUUUAUAUUUAUUUGUUAGUGAACUCGCAGUUGUAGGAUUGUAAUCGAUAAACUGAUGAGGAGGUUUAGUUAUUUAUUUUUGUGAAUGCAUGAAUCUAUUAGCCCACGUUAAGGAUGUUUUGUAUUAUAAUUGGGCCCAAACUAUAAAAUGUUUAAAAUGUU